AACCAUUCUCACCUGCGGCUAGACCUGCGGAGGGAUCAUUACUGAGUCACGUGCUCAAACAACCCUUCUGUGGACCUGAAAUAAAACUGUUGCCUCGGCGGGCGGUCCCCCCCAAACCAACCCCACGUGGUGGGUUAGGGGAGACCAGACAGUCCGGUACGCUUAAGGCGUCCGGCGCCAGCCGCUGGCCCCAAACAAUUAAACUCUAGUAAUCUUUACCUUCUGAAUUUCAAUAUUUAA
rnacentral:misc_RNA from 1 species